UAAAACCAGCUCCCCGAGUGGUGGGGAUGAUUAUUUGGCCUAAAGCGUCCGUAGCCGGCUCGGUAAGUCUUCCGUUAAAUCCAACGAUCUAAUCGUUGGGCUGCGGGAGAUACUGCAGGGCUAGGGGGCGGGAGAAGCUGACGGUACUCGUGGGGUAGGGGUGAAAUCCUAUAAUCCCAGGAGGACCACCAGUGGCGAAGGCGGUCGGCUAGAACGCGCCCGACGGUGAGGGACGAAAGCUGGGGGAGCGAACCGGAUUAGAUACCCGGGUAGUCCCAGCUGUAAACGAUGCAGGCUAGGUGUUGGCGUGACUACGGGUCACGCUAGUGCCGCAGGGAAGCCGUUAAGCCUGCCGCCUGGGGAGUACGGCCGCAAGGCUG
rnacentral:rRNA from 1 species